rnacentral:ncRNA from 2 species
GACAAAAUGAAUACAGUACCUUGUAUAAGUUUAGGAAUAAGGCCUGAACGUUUCUACCAGCUACCGGAAAUAGCUAGUCUACAGGGAGGAAUAACGAUUAU